UUUUUUCUCUUUCUUCAUUAACUGUCUUUUGUUUUUUCUUUUUUUUUUCUUCUUCCCUUUUUCCUUCCUUUCCACGUCUUCUUGUUUCUUUAUUUCUUUUCUAACAUUUUUCAUUUUUUUUUUGGUUUUUACUAUACUUUUAAUGUUUAAUUAAAUUAUAAAUUUAGACAUUUUUGAUUAAGUUUUUAUUAAAAAAUUGAUUCGAGUUCAAAAUAUAUUUUUUAUUAUUAUUUAAAUAUUGUUUGUUAAAUUUUUGUUAUCAAUGAAACAAUUGAUAGAAAAGAAAAUUCACAAUUUUUUUUAUCAUUAGAAAAUUCACAAUUUUUUUCUUCUUUUUUAACUCAUUAGUCAGCUCGUUAUUAG
rnacentral:lncRNA from 1 species